UACGGAGGGGGCUAGCGUUGUUCGGAAUUACUGGGCGUAAAGGGCGCGUAGGCGGCCACCGCAAGUCGACUGUGAAAUCUCUGGGCUUAACCCAGAAAGGUCAGCCGAUACUGCGGGGCUAGAGUGCAGAAGGGGCAACUGGAAUUCUCGGUGUAGCGGUGAAAUGCGUAGAUAUCGAGAGGAACACCUGCGGCGAAGGCGGGUUGCUGGGCUGACACUGACGCUGAGGCGCGAAAGCUAGGGGAGCGAACGGG
rnacentral:rRNA from 1 species